AACGGUAUGUAAACUAUCUUCUUUUUGAAGAAAAAAAAUGUUAUGUAUGUGUUCAAAUAUGUAUUGAGAAGAAUUUUUAAAGAUGCACUAGACCAGGUACAAGUGACUCAUGCCUGUAACCCCAGCACUUUGGGAGGCCAAGGCAGGCAGAUCACUUAAGGCCAGGACUUCCAGAUCAGCCUGGCCAACACGAAGAAACCCCGUCUCUACUAAAAAUAUUUUUAAAAUUAGCCAGUCAUGGUGGUGUAUGCCUGUAAUCCCAGCUACUUGAGAGCCUGAGGCAUGAGAAUCGCUUGAACCUAGAAGGCCUAGGUUGCAGUGAGCCGAGAUCGUGCCACUGCACUCCAGCCUGGGUGACAGAGCAAGUCUCAGAAAAAUUAAAAAACUAAAUAAAAGAUAUUCACUAAAGAGUUAUCAGUAAUUCUUCUGUGUGGAGAGGAUAAUGGGGUUCUUUAUGUUCUUUUGUUUAUAUGUAUGUUCUGAUUCUUCUUAAUGAUCACACGUUAUUUUAGUUCUAAAAAGAAAAGAACAUACAGAAUCUACACAAUCUAAAAUGUUAACUUUUUACCAAAUUGUUUUUUACAGAAUGACAUAAAAUCCUAUGGUUUCCAACCAUUUUUUAUACUAGCCUUUUUCCUCAAAUUGAAAUGUCUUUCCCAAUCCCCACACCCAUGAAACUUUUUUUUCCUAGCCUGGUCACUUUAUUGUUUAAACAUUCUGAUAGAGUCGGCUGGGAGUGGUGGCUCAUGCCUGUACUCCCAGCACUUUGGGAGGCCAAGGUGGGCAGAUCACAAGGUCAGGAGAUCAAGACCAUCCUGGCUAACACGGUGAAACCCCGUCUCUACCGGAAAAAAAAAAAUUGACCAGGCGUGGUGGUGGGCGCCUGUAGUCCCAGCUACUCGGGAGGCUGAGGCAGGAGAAUGGCGUGAAUCCAGGAGGUGGAGCUUGCAGUAAGCCGAGAUCACGCCACUGCACUCCAGCCCAGGCAACAGAGCAAGACUCUGUCUCAAAAAAAAAAAAAA
rnacentral:lncRNA from 1 species